AUUGAACGCUGGCGGCAGGCCUAACACAUGCAAGUCGAGCGGAGCGGCGGACGGGGGAGUAAGGCCUAGGUAUCGGCAUGGGCGUGAGGGAUAACGUCAGGAAACGGGAGCUAAUACCACAUACUAUCAGAUGAGCCUGGGUCGGAUUAGCUAGUUGGGGGGGUAAGGGCCUACCAAGGCGACGACCCGUAACUGGUCUGAGAGGAUGAGCAGUCACACUGGAACUGAGACACGGUCCAGACUCCUACGGGAGGCAGCAGUGGGGAAUAUUGGACAAUGGGCGAAAGCCUGAUCCAGCCAUGCCGCGUGUGUGAAGAAGGUCUUCGGAUUGUAAAGCACUUUAAGUUGGGAGGCGUUACCAACAGAAUAAGCACCGGCUAACUUCGUGCCAGCAGCCGCGGUAAUUC
rnacentral:rRNA from 1 species